UCGAACGAUUAAAGCUCUCUUCGGAGAGUGCAUAAAGUGGCGCACGGGUGAGUAACACGUAAGUAAUCUACCUUCGAGGGGGGAAUAACAGUCGGAAACGGCUGCUAAUACCGCAUAAUGCAGCGGCACCUAAUGGUGACAGUUGUUAAAGGAGCAAUCCGCUUGAAGAGGAGCUUGCGGCAGAUUAGCUAGUUGGUAAGGUAAUGGCUUACCAAGGCUUCGAUCUGUAACCGGUCUAAGAGGACGGUCGGUCACACUGACACUGAAUAACGGGUCAGACUCCUACGGGAGGCAGCAGUCGGGAAUUUUGGGCAAUGGGCGAAAGCCUGACCCAGCAACGCCGCGUGAAGGAUGAAGUAUUUCGGUAUGUAAACUUCGAAAGAAUGGGAAGAAUAAAUGACGGUACCAUUUAUAAGGUCCGGCUAACUACGUGCCAGCAGCCGCGGUAAUACGUAGGGACCAAGCGUUGUUCGGAUUUACUGGGCGUAAAGGGCGCGUAGGCGGCAUUGUAAGUCACUUGUGAAAUCUCCGGGCUUAACCCGGAACGGCCAAGUGAUACUGCAGUGCUAGAGUGCGGAAGGGGCAAUCGGAAUUCUCGGUGUAGCGGUGAAAUGCGUGGAUAUCGAGAGGAACACCUGAGGUGAAGACGGGUUGCUGGGCUGACACUGACGCUGAGGCGCGAAAGCCAGGGGAGCAAACGGGAUUAGAUACCCCGGUAGUCCUGGCCCUAAACGAUGAAUACUUGGUGUCUGGAGUUAUUAGUGCUCCGGGUGCCGUCGCUAACGUUUUUAGUAUUCCGCCUGGGGAGUACGCUCGCAAGAGUGAAACUC
rnacentral:rRNA from 1 species